UACGUAGGGUGCAAGCGUUGUCCGGAAUUAUUGGGCGUAAAGAGCUCGUAGGCGGUUUGUCGCGUCGAAUGUGAAAACCCGGGGCUCAACCCCGGGCCUGCAUUCGAUACGGGCAGGCUAGAGUUCGGUAGGGGAGUCUGGAAUUCCUGGUGUAGCGGUGAAAUGCGUAGAUAUCAGGAGGAACACCUGCGGUGUAGACGGCUUACUGGACCAUAACUGACGCUGAGGCACGAAAGCGUGGGUAGCAAACAGG
rnacentral:rRNA from 1 species